AGUGAACGCUGGCGGUAGGCCUAACACAUGCAAGUCGAACGGCAGCACAGUAAGAGCUUGCUCUUACGGGUGGCGAGUGGCGGACGGGUGGGGAAUACAUCGGAAUCUACUUUUUCGUGGGGGAUAACGUAGGGAAACUUACGCUAAUACCGCAUACGACCUACGGGUGAAAGCAGGGGAUCUUCGGACCUUGCGCGAUUGAAUGAGCCGAUGUCGGAUUAGCUAGUUGGCGGGGUAAAGGCCCACCAAGGCGACGAUCCGUAGCUGGUCUGAGAGGAUGAUCAGCCACACUGGAACUGAGACACGGUCCAGACUCCUACGGGAGGCAGCAGUGGGGAAUAUUGGACAAAGGGCGCAAGCCUGAUCCGGCCAUACCGCGUGGGUGAAGAAGGCCUUCGGGUUGUAAAGCCCUUUUGUUGGGAAAGAAAAGCAGCAGGUUAAUACCCCGCUGUUCUGACGGUACCCAAAGAAUAAGCACCGGCUAACUUCGUG
rnacentral:rRNA from 1 species